rnacentral:lncRNA from 1 species
GAAGCCUCACGCCAGCUUCGCCCCCGGGCCGCCAGCGUUCGGGCCGCCCGCUGAGGAUGGCGUCGCGCGGGCCUGGCAUGCUGGUCGUCGUCCAGGCAGCUGCAGGGCACGCGGCGCUCCAUCCAGGCGGCCAGCCGGGGACAGGCUUUCUUUCCUUCUGAGCGAAGAUGGCGUUCCCUACGAAGCGGCCUUGCGCCCUCCCAGGCCAUAACGAUGACAUCACCCAACCUACUGGUUUGGCUGAGGGUUUUCUUGGACCAUCCCGGAUGCUUCGAGCGGGGAGUCCACCUGCACCGCUCCGGAGGCCUGAGCUGCCAGCCCAGGAGGGAGGAACCCCAGGUCGCCACGUGCCGCUGGGGGCGCCGGGGGCCUGGGGGCCCCUCCCACGUGGUGGGGCCGUUUGCGAGCACGUGCUGUUGUCGCUGCCUCGCCUGCCGCAUUUGGC